GGGAAAGAGGGGCUGAGGGCUGAACCCACACUCCUAGUUCCUCUCCAAACUCAUAAUCAACUCGCUUUGCCUCCAAGGGGGAUGUAAAAAGCCAGGAGCACUUAGGAAAAAUUCCCUCAUUGAAGAACCCAGAGGAGCGAAGAAGUGACCCCUUCCCAGCCUUCAGAAAAAUCCGUUUGAAAUAUGGAUUUUCAAGUCAAAUCUUGUCAGUCAGCUCCUCUCCAGCUCGAACCCAGAAGGAACUGGCCAACUGUUGCCCUGGUCUGGCCACCCUAACAGUACCUGAUGUGUGUUCAGAUGCACCUGGAAAGAAAGGAAAGAGAAUGACUAGCUGUGAGAGAGAUGGAUGCAGUAGACUGGAAAGACCUCAUAAGCACUCUGAAGUAUGCUGAAGUAUUCAGAAGUGAAUUUAGAAGCCUGUUUCACUUCACUUAGAUUCACAACACCUGCUGCUGAAGAUGUAACCCAGACUCGAAGGAUGAAAAAUGUCCUCUGUCAGACACAGACAUACGUUACCAGUUUCAAUCAUAUGUCAUCUGUGACUCAAGUAAUCAUGAACGCGAAAUGAAAAAACAAACAGUUGUGUUGUAUAAUAUGUUUUCUGCUUAUUCUCCUUGUGAGAUACAUUAUAAAAAAAGGACAGAGAGAAAUGGAUCUAUCAUAGGGCAUCAACAGAGCCAGUACAUUUGUCAAAAGAACUGGAAGAAGUGUGUAGUAAGUCCUUCCUGUAAAUUGUACCCCAGAUGUGCUGAUUGUUUUGCUUUAUUAGCUUCAUGCAGCCAAAGGGAAGGUUCAGCCUUUAGUGUUAAAUUGUUAUGUUCACAGUUUGAGAGGGAAAGGGAAAUUGUAAAUAUGCAGUCUUAUCACCUGUGAGAAUAUAGCGUCUUCCUAGUCUUGUAUUUCCUAGUCAUUAUAUCGCAAUUCUCCAUCCCCUCCAGUGAAACAUCCUACAAUGUCAAGGUUUAUUUCAUACAAGGCAAAUCUGAAAAUGAAUAAUGGAGGUGAAUGUAUUAUAAUUUCAAAUACUUUAUGUAUACUAGCUCCUUAUUCUCUAGAGUACCUCUGUAAGUGGGUGAGGUUAAAUAUCUUUAUGUAAUAGAAUAAAAAUGAAACAUGAGGGUUAAACCUAAUGAAUCCUAUCCCUUUCUAGCUCUGACCGUUGAUGGAACAGACAUCAUGUUGUCUACACGAUACCAGUUAUUUAGAUUAAAGAAAAUAAUUGGCCAUUAAUACAGAUAACCCUUGGGGUUUGAGAGUGAGGCUGGUGUCUCUGUUCUCUUUGUGCUUCUGUAUAACUGCUCUGUCCUUGAAACUCAGUCAUCUUUGCCGUUCACAUCAGACUGGCCUACCUUUCCUUUUGGUGACAUACUAAUCUCCUGGUCUCUUCCCUUCACUCACGGAAGAGUUCUGUCAUCUCCUCUGCUCCCUUAUCAUUUUUAUUGGUGUCUUCAAUGUCCUUGUGAAAACUUCAUCCCUCAUGUGGCUGCACUGUUCCUUGACCUGCCUCACCUUCUGUAUCCUUCCCCAUCUUAACAACAGCUACCGCACCUGCGGGUCUGCCCUGGCCCUUGUUAUCACUGACAGCUGUACUGUCCCCCAUCUUCUGUAUCCAGUUUUUUUAACCUCACUUCCCUGCAUUCUCUCUCAUUCUCCUCCGCCUCUGUGCUUUGAUCAUACCAAGUUCUCUAAAUCAGCAGUCUUUACUCUUGUUCAUUCUUCAUGAUCUCUCUCACGUUUUUCUUUAUUCCAUACUCAGCUCUAUCAUAUCUAUGUACUUUCAAAAAGUUAACUCUCUUAAGAGUUUCUUCCAUUUCACUUUCCCCAAAAGAACUCUCCCUCUGGUUAUCCCACUGUCUUAUUCUGCAUUGGCAGCUGAACAAGUCUGGAGAAAAGCAUGUACUUUUUGCUGACUGAUUCCAGUUUAAACUCAUGAUCCUGUAUCCUGACUGGGUAUUCAGUACUGGUUGGUUAUCUUUAUACUUUAAUAAAUGUCCAUUUCCCA